rnacentral:rRNA from 1 species
UACAGAGGGUGCAAGCGUUAAUCGGAAUUACUGGGCGUAAAGCGUGCGCAGGCGGUGAUGUAAGACAGAUGUGAAAUCCCCGGGCUCAACCUGGGAACUGCAUUUGUGACUGCAUCGCUGAAGUGCGGCAGAGGGGGAUGGAAUUCCGCGUGUAGCAGUGAAAUGCGUAGAUAUGCGGAGGAACACCGAUGGCGAAGGCAAUCCCCUGGGCCUGCACUGACGCUCAUGCACGAAAGCGUGGGGAGCAAACAGG